rnacentral:rRNA from 1 species
GAUGAACGCUGGCGGCGUGCCUAAUACAUGCAAGUCGAGCGAACAGACGAGGAGCUUGCUCCUCUGACGUUAGCGGCGGACGGGUGAGUAACACGUGGAUAACCUACCUAUAAGACUGGGAUAACUUCGGGAAACCGGAGCUAAUACCGGAUAAUAUAUUGAACCGCAUGGUUCAAUAGUGAAAGACGGUUUUGCUGUCACUUAUAGAUGGAUCCGCGCCGCAUUAGCUAGUUGGUAAGGUAACGGCUUACCAAGGCAACGAUGCGUAGCCGACCGGAGAGGGUGAUCGGCCACACGGGAACGGAGACACGGUCCAGACUCCUACGGGAGGCAGCAGUAGGGAAUCUUCCGCAAUGGGCGAAAGCCUGACGGAGCAACGCCGCGUGAGUGAUGAAGGUCUUCGGAUCGUAAAACUCUGUUAUUAGGGAAGAACAAAUGUGUAAGUAACUAUGCACGUCUUGACGGUACCUAAUCAGAAAGCCACGGCUAACUACGUG